GACGAACGCUGGCGGCGUGCCUAAUACAUGCAAGUCGAGCGGGCCUCCGGAGGUGCUUGCACCUCCGGAAGGCCAGCGGCGGACGGGUGAGUAACACGUGGGCAACCUGCCUUUGAGGCCGGGAUAACACCGGGAAACCGGUGCUAAUACCGGAUACGUCCUCUUUCGCGCCUGCGAGAGGGGAGAAAGACGGUCUUUAAGGCCGUCGCUCAAAGAGGGGCCCGCGGCGCAUUAGCUGGUUGGUGGGGUAAGGGCCUACCAAGGCGACGAUGCGUUGCCGACCUGGGAGGGUGAUCGGCCACACUGGGACUGAGACACGGCCCAGACUCCUGCGGGAGGCAGCAGUAGGGAAUCAUCCGCAAUGGGCGAAAGCCUGACGGUGCAACGCCGCGUGAGUGAGGAAGGUUUUCGGAUCGUAAAGCUCUGCUGUGAGGGAAGAACAGCUUCCGGAGGAAAUGCCGGAGGUUUGCCGGUACCUCACCAGAAAGCCCCGGCUAACUACGUGCCAGCAGCCGCCGUAACAC
rnacentral:rRNA from 1 species